rfam:Trichinella sp. T8 scaffold172s, whole genome shotgun sequence.
CUCUACGAUCAUAGUCCGCUGAAAGCACUGCAUUCCGCCUGAUUUGCAAAGUUAAGCAAACGUAUGCAUGACGGGACAACCAGAAUCAGAGACGGUCUGGAAGCACACGGGAUCGUAGAUA